rnacentral:lncRNA from 7 species
UCUUACCCUCUGUUUUUUUUCAAAGGCUAUAUUGAAAUGUUUGUCUUUAAAAAGAAAUGAAGUACAUUCAGCCCACUUGGGUAGAAGACUACUCAAUUUCUGCUAGAAAAGAAACAUUUCUGCAUGAAAAGUUCACCCUUCACCCAUUUGCAUGAGCUGUAUGUGCUAUAGGAACUGCCUCUGCCUGGAUAGCUAGGACAGUGGAAAGAGAAUUCAGCAUUUAAGUCUUGCAGCAUGGAGCAUGAUCACAAAGGCUGAUUCUGCUGCCAGGAUUUCUACAAAGAAGGAAGAGCAAGAUGCUGUUGAGAAACCUAAAGAAAUGGUGAGCUUUAAAGCAUCAGCAUGCUCUUCAUGAUACCUUUUUCCUGCAGUCUGAUGCAACCAAUUUGGAGCAAUUAGAAUUGCUUUGAAAUUCUAUAUGAGGCUUGGAAGACUUGAAGGAAUUUCUUGAGAUUCAUCUAUCAAGAUUAUGAAACCUCAAAUUUCUUUUAGUCUGUGGAAGAUGCUCAGCCCCUGGCAUGAAGAAUAGGACAUCCCAACUUUACUGCAUGUAUUGGUAUCAUGAAUGUAGCAGGUGAAAUUCAGUCUGGUUUUGAUCAUUGCAAAGCCAGAAAUCAGGCAGAGCAUGUUGAAUAGUGAUUACUGAUCUAUAUAAUACGCAUUUUCUGCUUUGAAACUGUUGGCCCAAAGAGCUUAUUGUGAGUUUUCCUAGCUGCCUCCUGUUAAAACUACUUCUGUUGUUUUGUUUGCGAUCAUGGCAGUUACUCUUUAUUUGGGAGAGAAUAUCCUCUAGAUUUCAAAAUGUAUACAUUGCAUAUUUAUAUAAACUUAUCUGGGGCAGAUCAAUGUCCUGCUGGUGUUAAUUCCUGAGUGUGAAAGUGGAUCUCGCUGAAUCAUGAAUGGUAGCAAGGCACUUUCUAAAAGUGAAGGAAAAAGGUUGUUGUCCAAGAAUUAGUCCUGCCACAAGCUAUGCAACUGAUAACUUGGGUAGUCCUCAUAAGGUAGGAUUUUAUUGCUCGUAUCUAGGGUCCUGGGGCCACCAGAGAUGUUUUCAGAACUCCGAGGCUGUUGAACCUGGAUAUUACCAAGGUGACAGGAUUCAAAGAAUGCGUGCAUCUUUCUGAAACAAGAGCAUCUACAGACUGGGUGGGGCACCUACAAUGAUGCAGGAAGAAAUGUAGGUUGUCUUCAGUGCUGAGUGCAUGGAUAUCUUUUAAAUCUUACCACCCUGUUGGAUUUAAAUCCCUAGGGUGAUGGUCAGCCAAGCCUCACGAAGACUUGCACAAAGGCAAUGUAAAUACUGCGAUGUCUUACAGGAGGUGUGUGACAGCCAUUCUGACUCUCUUCUCCAAAGGGAAGCUCCAGGCUUUAUCUCCAGAGAGAUGGAUGCAGGAGAUGUUUCCCCAAGCCCUCCCUCCCUGCAUGUAGAUUCUUAAAUGUGCUGCAGUGCUGGCAGAAACAAGUGCACUCCGAUUCUCCACUUGGGCGUGUUUGAGCACUUGUGUGAUCAGCCUAGCUGCAAUCUGACAAGUGUCUGUACAGCUGAAAAUGGAUUUUCACAGCCUGUUGGCCUUCACGGAGGGUGUGUGGGCUGAAUGUAUUGCUAUCAAAUAGGGGAUACAAAUGUUUGCUAAUUUUUUUUCCCCCUUAGAGGAAGAUGAUGUAAUGGGGAUUAAAGUAAAAUCUAACUUGCUUCUGCACAAGCUUCGUUCCAUCAACCCAGUGGGAGUGUUCUCAGUGCCUUCAGUUGUAGACUGCAGCAUGGUUUCUGUUGUCUGCCACAGCAUCACAACCUUUCCUAUUCCUCUCUUUCAGUGAUUUUUGGAUCUCUUUCCAAAAAGGCAGCAGGAACCUCUGUGUAACGUGGACUGUUUUACUGACAAGGUAGCAAUUUUCAUCUGGGAUUUCUUCCACAUUUAACAGCAUUUAUUUAUUUUCCUUAAAGAUAGAAUCCUACCCUUCCUUCCCUUUCUGGUCUCUUCCUCUGGCUUAAGCAGUCUCUCUCAGAACAUCUAAUAUUAAAGGUACACUUAUUUUAUCUC